CAGCAGCCACGGUAAAACGAAGGGUGCAAGCGUUAAUCGGAAUUACUGGGCGUAAAGCGUGCGCAGGCGGUUUGUUAAGUCUGUUGUGAAAUCCCCGGGCUCAACCUGGGAAUGGCAAUGGAUACUGGCAAGCUAGAGUGUGUCAGAGGAUGGUGGAAUUCCCGGUGUAGCGGUGAAAUGCGUAGAGAUCGGGAGGAACAUCAGUGGCGAAGGCGGCCAUCUGGGACAACACUGACGCUGAGGCACGAAAGCGUGGGGAGCAAACAGGAUUAGAUACCCCAGUAGUCCCUGUCUCUUAUAC
rnacentral:rRNA from 1 species